AGUGAACGCUGGCGGCAUGCCUAACACAUGCAAGUCGAACGGCAGCACAGUAAGAUCUUGCUGUUACCGGGUGCCAGUGGCGUACGUGUGACGAAUACAUCGGAACCUACUUUUUCGUGGGGGAUAACGUAGGUAAACUUACGCUAAUACCGCAUACGACCUACGAGUGAAAGCAGUGGAUCUUCGCACCUUGCGCGAUUGAAUGAGCCGAUGUCGGACUAGCUAGUUGGCGGGGUAAAUGCCCACCAAGGCGACGAUCCGUAGCUGGUCUGAGAGGAUGAUAGGCCAACCUGGAACUGGGACACGGUCCAGAGUCCUACGGGAGGCAGCAGUGGGGAAUAUUGGACAAUGGGCGCAAGUCUGAUCCAGCGAUACCGAGUGGGUGAAGAAGGCCUUCGGGUUGGAAAGACCUUUUGUUGGGAAAGAAACGCUGCAGCUUAAUACGACGCGGUUGUGACGGUACCCAAAGAAUAAGCACCGGCUAACUACGUG
rnacentral:rRNA from 1 species